UACGGUAGGAGACGAGCGUUGUCCGGAGUUACUGGGCGUAAAGGGUGCGCAGGUGGCGGCGCGCGUGGGGGGUGAAAUCGCCCGGCUUAACUGGGCGGGGCCUUCCAGACGGCGUGGCUUGAGCAGCGGAGGGGGACGUGGAAUUCCGGGUGGAGCGGUGAAAUGCGUAGAGAUCCGGAGGAACACCGACGGCGCGAGGCAGCGUCCCGUGGCCGCUUGCUGACA
rnacentral:rRNA from 1 species